rnacentral:piRNA from 1 species
UGAAACUCUGUGGAAUCAGUUCUGUCUGC